rnacentral:rRNA from 1 species
CAGCCGCCGCGGGAAAACGAGGGGGGCAAGCGUUGUUCGGAAUUAUUGGGCAUAAAGGGCUCGCAGGCGGUUUCUUAAGUCUGAUGUGAAAGCCCCCGGCUCAACCGGGGAGGGUCAUUGGAAACUGGGAAACUUGAGUGCAGAAGAGGAGAGUGGAAUUCCACGUGUAGCGGUGAAAUGCGUAGAGAUGUGGAGGAACACCAGUGGCGAAGGCGACUCUCUGGUCUGUAACUGACGCUGAGGAGCGAAAGCGUGGGGAGCGAACAGGAUUAGAUACCCCCGUAGUCCCUGUCUCUUAUAC